UACGUAGGGGGCAAGCGUUGUCCGGAAUUAUUGGGCGUAAAGCGCGCGCAGGCGGUCCUUUAAGUUUGGUGUCUAAUCCCGGGGCUCAACCCCGGGUUGCAUCGAAAACUGGGUGACUGGAGUGCGGGAGAGGAAAGUGGAAUUCCACGUGUAGCGGUGAAAUGCGUAGAUAUGUGGAGGAACACCAGUGGCGAAGGCGACUUUCUGGACCGUAACUGACGCUGAGGCGCGAAAGCGUGGGGAGCAAACAGG
rnacentral:rRNA from 1 species